GAUGAACGCUAGCUACAGGCUUAACACAUGCAAGUCGAGGGACCGGCGCACGGGUGAGUAACACGUAUCCAACCUGCCCUUUAAUCGGGGAUAGCCUUUCGAAAGAAAGAUUAAUACCCGAUAUAAUGGAUGGGGAUGCGUUCCAUUAGGUUGUUGGUAAGGUAACGGCUGACCAAGCCUUCGAUGGAUAGGGGUUCUGAGAGGCAGUCCCCCCACAUGUGAAACUAGACCCGGUCCAAACUCCUACGAUAGGCAGCAGUGAGGAAUAUAGGUCAAUGGGCGCUGACCUGGACCUGCCAAGUAGCGUGAGGAAUGAAGGGUUAUGGGUCGUCAACUUCUUUUAUAGAAGAAUAUGUAUUAUAUGAAUAAGGAUCGGCUAACUCCGUGCCAGCAGCCGCGGUAAUAC
rnacentral:rRNA from 1 species